rnacentral:lncRNA from 1 species
AGGAAGUAUUACUUUACUGAGAGGGUAGUGGAUGCAUGGAAUAGCCUUCCAGCUGAAGUGGUAGAGGUUAACACAGUAAAGGAGUUUAAGCAUGCGUGGGAUAGGCAUAAGGCUAUCCUAACUAUAAGAUAAGACUAGGGACUAAUGAAAGUAUUUAGAAAAUUGGGCAGACUAGAAGGGCUGAAUGGUUCUUAUCUGCCGUCACAUU